AUGCAUCACUGUGAAAGGAAAAGGCGUAGAGAUGGCUCUCGUCCCUGCCCCACUCCUACGAUAACAACCAGAGAGAAGAAUAGCAAGGAACACCAGGCCUGGAAAGCUGCCCAGAACAUAGCUCUGGGUGGCUGGUCACAGAAGAGUCGAGCAAGGAAAGAGAAAGCAGAGAAAUACCUGCGACAUGAAGAGAGGCAGACGGGGACCACGACGGGUCUUUCACGCCAUUCAGUCACUCUUUCGGAACCUCGGGAGCUUGAUGAAUGAUCACUCUUUGAUAACCACAAACAUAGGCCUCAGAUACAUUCACUUGAAUUUUUUUUCCUCUUUUUUUGUUUGCGUUUCAUGACAGAAAAGACAGAAACGGCUGCUCAGGCAGGCCAUUCUCCUUUUGAAUGUAGAUGUCAAUUUUCCUUUUAUAAGAGGGUUAUUGAUCACUUUCCAAACAAAUAUAAGUCAGGGCAAAUUGAGUCAACCUCGUUCCAGGAAUAGUUGAUAUUUUCUCCUAGGCUGUGGCUCAGAGCUGAAAAGCGUGUGGAGGUUUGAAUUUUCACAUUAUCGUAUCGGACUGCUGAGUGAAGCCUGGUGGGAUUGCUGGUGAUUUGCGACAAGCAAAGGAAUUCCUCUCACAGCGUAAAGCGCAUUAUUGAAAACCAACCUGGAUCAUGGAUAGUUUGUCAUCUUCCGCUGUUAGGAGGGCCCUUUCCCCAGAACACAUAAUUUUCCGUAGGGCCUUUAGCUUUGUUCUUUGAGAUCUUGCUCUUUGCUGUGGAGUUGCUUUUAGCGGGAUGCAUAACCCAUUUAAAACAGUUAUCUGCUUGCUAAUUGGAUGACUGGUGACAUUUUGCUUUGUGCUAUUUUCAUGUACUCUCUAAGUAUUUAUUUAACUUUAAUGAUAAGAGUAACAAAUGUAAAGUGAUUGCGAAUGGUUCUUUCUCCUCUCUUCCCCUGUCCAUGUAAGCGAGUCCUAAUUUUAUUUGCUUGUUGUGGAGCCAAUCCAGCACGAAUGAGGUAGCUUUCCCUUGCACGGCGUCCAUCUGAACCCUUGCUUCUCAGACUGGGCUGGGACAUGCAAAGCCUCAGUGUCACCUGGCAGCUUGCAAAAUGUAGAGUCUCAGGCCCCUUCCCAGACCUGCCUCAUCCGAAAUCUGUAUUUGAAUAAGAUCCCUGGUGACCCUGUGCUUGUCAAAAUUAGAAGAGUGAGGCCUUCAGCCACCUGCCUUUCUUUGUUCUUUGCAAGUACAGCAAAUGAAUACGCCCAAGCAAUGCUUAAAACUAUAGGACAAUAAAUAAGAGUCUUGGAAGACGAUACUAUUUGUG
rnacentral:lncRNA from 1 species